CCCGCUGGCCCGAGCAUCGCGCGCCGCAGACGCGGCCCCGCAGCUCCGCCCCCGGCCCGGCCCGGCCAGGCCCCGGGCCCGCUCGCCCGCCGCCCCACAUGGAGCUGUCAGCCAUCGGCGAGCAGGUGUUCGCCGUAGAGAGCAUCCGGAAGAAGCGCGUGCGGAAGGGUAAAGUCGAAUAUCUGGUGAAGUGGAAAGGAUGGCCCCCAAAGUACAGCACGUGGGAGCCGGAGGAGCACAUCCUGGACCCCCGCCUGGUCAUGGCCUAUGAGGAGAAGGAGGAGAGAGACCGAGCGUCGGGUUAUAGGAAGAGAGGCCCGAAACCCAAGCGGCUUCUGCUGCAGGAGUCACCGGCCCCGGACGUCCUGCAGGCGGCCAGCGAGUGGGAGCCUGCUGAGCAGCCCCCCGAAGAGGAGGCAGAUGCAGAUCUGGCCGAGGGGCCCCCUUCCUGGACACCCACGCUCCCCUCAAGUGAAGUGACAGUGACCGAUAUCACCGCCAACUCCAUCACCGUCACCUUCCGAGAGGCUCAGGCAGCUGAGGGCUUCUUCCGAGACCGCGGCGGGAAGUUCUGAGUCACCGUUUUUACUCUUCUUAAUCUCUUCUCCUUCGGGCUUGGGGUGGGGACUUCCAGAUACAGGGAGGGGUUGGGGCGGGGUAAUUAUUUUAUUUAAAAAAACAUUGAACAGGAGAAGCGGGUCUGAACCCAACACUCUCCCACCCCCCCGCCCCCACCCUUCUCUGUGCCCGCGUUUACAGAGAGGCCUUGGGUCCGGGCCUGGGGAGGCCAGGCGCUGCUCUGUCACUUGGGGUGUCAUCUCCAGGGCAGGAUGGGACAGGGCCAGCUUCCUCGGGACACCUCUGCCACCGCUCUUCUUUAAACAGCAGCAGCCCCAGCAGCUGGCCCCGGGGCCAGAGGAGGAGGGAAGGCCCGAGCCCUCCCCUGGGGCUGCCCACCCCAGCCUUUCUGCUUCUUCCCCCUUUUCCUUUUUUUUUUUUUUUUUUUUUUUUUUUUUUUUUUUUUUUGGUGUGUGUGUGGUGGGGGGGGUGUCUUUAUUUUGAACUUUCCACUCCAGCUUUGUGGGAUGCUACGGAGGCUACAAAGGCUGGCUUUGACCAAGAGUGUCUGGGCCCGAGAGCUCAGGGGCCGGGAAGGGUUGGAGAUGGCUGGGCGUGUCCCAUCCCUUCCCCCAGGGGCAGCUGCCAGCCCAGCCCCUGCCACUGACAGGCCCCCCUCCCAACCCCGUUCCCCGGCCUGUGAAAACCGCUCGCUUACACACCCAGCCACACAGGUGUGUGCACACUGCCCCUCGUGCCCCUGGGACUGCAUGUGCGUGUCCACAGAUGUGUGCAGUGGGUCUUGCUAACCUCCUGUUUAGAACCCUGACCAGGUGAAUGGGGGGUGAUUCCCAGCACAAAAGAGCUUGCUGUGGGCACCCCCCCACACACCUCACCUCACCUCGCCCGGCGCUUCACCUGACGAGACCCAUCCAGCUCAGUGUGCUUGCUGUGCUCAGUGGAGGGCAAGGGUCUGACGGGCAGGGGAGGGUGGCAGCUUGGGGAGGUCAGGGAGCAGAGCGGGGGAGGUGGUGAGAUGGUCUCCGAUGCUCCAGGCGUGCAGAUGCAGUCUCGUGGUCUCACCUGGCCGGCCGCAGGUGUGCAGGUGUCUGUGCAGGUGCGCCGUGCACCCGCUGGAGCCCCCAGGGGCUCCUGUUCUCUCUGACUCAGGUGACUUUCCAGCCCUUCCCUCUCCCCUCUUUUUUUGCUCUCCCCUCUGACUCAGCCAAGCCAGACUUGGGUGUGGGUGGUCAGCGAGGGAGGGAGCAUCCCACCACCUUCUCAGGGCAGCCCUUGACCUCCGGACACCCUUCCUCCUUCCACUCUGCGUCUCCUCCCCGUCCACCCGCAAUGCUGCAGCUGGGGCUAACCUUGCUCUCUUGUGGGGGCACCUCUGCCAUGUCUUCCUGUGGUCAGGCCACAGCGGAUGGUGGUUCAGGCUACACACAAGCCCCACACCCCGGCUGGGGGCUGUGUCUGCCGGGAGGGGGCGCUCCAUUUCUAGUUUGCACAGAGGUAGUUGCUCCCCUGGCAGUGAGGAGGGACUUCUCUCCCCUGUCAGUCCCUAUAGGGGUGAAAAAGCCAGAUUGGGGUGGGCACCAGGGGAGCAAGUGAAAGCCUGGCUCCCUCCCCGCUCCGCGUUGUCCCCUCCCCCAGGGCUGUGCCACAUUCUGCUUUGUCCGGGGGAAGUCAGCAGAAUCUUUCUGAGGCUCGGAUAGGGCAGUGUUCCCCUAGACCCCUUCUUCCCAAGUUCCCGAACCAAAGACAGCCUGCACCCAAUUUUUAUUUGGGCAGCCUGCUGGCAAGAUCCCAGAACCCUGAGCCUCUGUCUCCUCCUCCUCCUCAAUCCUCUGUUGUCCAGGGUCAAUUCAGUGCUUCCAUUGGGGGAUCGCGCCCUCCCCCUGACUCACCCCCGCUUAGGGGGUUGAGUCUAGAGGAGUAUAUGGCGGGUGACCAGGGGACAGGAUGGCAGCCUGGGUUGGAGGCUGUCCCAGUUCAGGGGCCCCCGGCAGAGGCUGGGGGGGGGCAGGGACUCUGGCCUUGGGACUGGCAGCUUCCAGUAGAUGUCACAGUCCCCACCCCCCAGGGGACAUGGGCCUCCUCCUGCCUCACUUGGAGGAGCUGUUCAUGCAGUUUGCAGGUUUGGGGGAGGGGGCGGCCCUUGUGUGGGGUGAGGCCCCGCUGGAGCAGAGCACUGCUUGCCUCUCUCAGCCCUUCAUGGCCUCUGGGAGGGCUGAGCCCUGGGAGCAGAGGCGGCCUGGGGGCCGGGCUGCAGGGGGUUAGGACCCUCCCACCCAGGACCCAGAACCGAGACCUCUAUGAGGGGUUGGGAGCAGCCUUGAAGGCCUCCUCCAGCCCCGAGCAUCCUAGCGGGGCUAGGGUGAGGGGGCAAGGUGGGCAUGACCUGCCUCCCCACUCUCCUGCCACCCUAGAAGGCCAGUACUCACGCGGGGGGGGGGUUCGAAAAAGCUGGACCACCUGUCUUUCCUUCCCGCAGCCCCCCACCUGCUUUGAAUGUAGAGAGACCGGUUGGUACUUUUCUUUUGCUGGGGGGUGGGGCCAGGAGAAUGUUCUCCGCCCCUGGCACAGCCGCUUGUAAUGCUGCCCCUCGAGGACCGGGCCCCUCGAGGACCACCCGCCGCUCCUAGGAUGGUGGCCCCAGGGCCAGCCUCCUUCUCCACUCCCGGCCUGGGGGAAGGCGCUUCGCUUGGUUUAGCUUUUGCUUCAUAACCGGCCAGCCUGGCCUCCAGGUCUCAGCACAAGAACGCUGCCUUUGCACAGAAUGAGCAUCAAGCUUUGUUCUGACUACAUGAAUGUAUUCGGGAGGGUUGGGGGCGCGAGUCGGUUCAAGCACAUGCCUUUGCCGAGUGCGCGUGUGCAGGGAGAGCUAGAGCGGAUGCAGAGUGUGGGUUUAUUUUUGUACUGAUAUUGGUAAGAGACUGUACAGCAUCUAUUUAUUUAGAUGAUUUAUCUGGUAAACGAGGCAAAAAAUUAUUAAAAAUACAUUAAAGAUGAUUU
rnacentral:lncRNA from 1 species